rnacentral:rRNA from 1 species
CCCAGACUCCUACGGGAGGCAGCAGUGGGGGAUAUUGCACAAUGGGGGGAACCCUGAUGCAGCGACGCCGCGUGGGUGAAGGAGCGUUUCGGCGCGUAAAGCCCUAUCGGCAGGGAAGAAGGAGGACGGUACCUGACUAAGAAGCCCCGGCUAACUACGUGCCAGCAGCCGCGGUAAUACGUAGGGGGCAAGCGUUAUCCGGAUUUACUGGGUGUAAAGGGGGCGCAGACGGCAGCGCAAGCCAGGAGUGAAAGCCCGGGGCCCAACCCCGGGACUGCUCUUGGAACUGCGCGGCUGGAGUGCAGGAGGGGCAGGCGGAAUUCCUGGUGUAGCGGUGAAAUACGUAGAUAUCAGGAGGAACACCGGUGGCGAAGGCGGCCUGCUGGACUGCGACUGACGUUGAGGCCCGAAAGCGUGGGGAGCAAACAGGAUUAGAUACCCCAGUACC